GGGCCCGCACAAGCGGUGGAGCAUGUGGUUUAAUUCGAUGAUACGCGAGGAACCUUACCAGGGCUUAAAUGUAGGAUGCAUUAGCUAGAGAUAGCUAUUUCUUCGGACUUCUUACAAGGUGCUGCAUGGUUGUCGUCAGCUCGUGCCGUGAGGUGUCAGGUUAAGUCCUAUAACGAGCGCAACCCCUGUCGUUAGUUGCCAGCAUGUAAAGAUGGGGACUCUAACGAGACUGCCGGUGUAAACCGCGAGGAAGGUGGGGAUGACGUCAAAUCAUCACGGCCCUUACGUCCUGGCUACACACGUGCUACAAUGGUAUGGACAAAGGGUUGCAAUCCCGCGAGGGGGAGCU
rnacentral:rRNA from 1 species